rnacentral:rRNA from 1 species
GAACGCCGUAGCAAUACGGAGUGGCAGACGGGUGAGUAACGCGUGGGAACAUACCCCUCGGUUCGGAAUAACUCAGGGAAACUUGAGCUAAUACCGGAUACGUCCGAGGUUUUAAUCGACCUUGGAGAAAGAUUUAUCGCCAAAGGAUCGGCCCGCGUCUGAUUAGCUAGUUGGUGAGGUAACGGCUCACCAAGGCGACGAUCAGUAGCUGGUCUGAGAGGAUGAUCAGCCUCACUGGGACUGAGACACGGCCCAGACUCCUACGGGAGGCAGCAGUGGGGAAUAUUGGACAAUGGGCGCAAGCCUGAUCCAGCCAUGCCGCGUGGGUGAUGAAGGCCUUAGGGUUGUAAAGCCCUUUCGGCGGGGAAGAUAAUGACGGUACCCGCAGAAGAAGCCCCGGCUAACUUCGUGCCAGCAGCCGCGGUAAUACGAAGGGGGCUAGCGUUGCUCGGAAUCACUGGGCGUAAAGCGCACGUAGGCGGCUUUUUAAGUCAGGGGUGAAAUCCUGGAGCUCAACUCCAGAACUGCCUUUGAUACUGAAGAGCUUGAGUCCGGGAGAGGUGAGUGGAACUGCGAGUGUAGAGGUGAAAUUCGUAGAUAUUCGCAAGAACACCAGUGGCGAAGGCGGCUCACUGGCCCGGUACUGACGCUGAGGUGCGAAAGCGUGGGGA